GAUCAUGGCUCAGGAUGAACGCUAGCUACAGGCUUAACACAUGCAAGUCGAGGGGAAACGAUAUUGGAAGCUUGCUUCCGAUAGGCGUCGACCGGCGCACGGGUGAGUAACGCGUAUCCAACCUGCCCAUCACUUGGGAAUAACCUUGCGAAAGUAAGACUAAUGCCCAAUGACAUUUAUAGAAGGCAUCCGAAAUGAAUUAAAGAUUUAUCGGUGAUGGAUGGGGGAUGCGUCUGAUUAGCUUGUUGGCGGGGUAACGGCCCACCAAGGCGACGAUCAGUAGGGGUUCUGAGAGGAAGGUCCCCCACAUUGGAACUGAGACACGGUUCAAACUCCUACGGGAGGCAGCAGUGAGGAAUAUUGGUCAAUGGGCGAGAGCCUGAACCAGCCAAGUAGCGUGCAGGAAGACGGCCCUAUGGGUUGUAAACUGCUUUUAUAGGGGAAUAAAGUGAGCCACGUGUGGUUUUUUGCAUGUACCCUAUGAAUAAGGACCGGCUAAUUCCGUG
rnacentral:rRNA from 1 species